GGCGAGAUGGCCGAGCGGUCUAAGGCGCUAGAAUCAGGAUCUAGUACGAAAGUGCGUGGGUUCGAAUCCCACUCUCGUCA
rnacentral:tRNA from 1 species